rnacentral:rRNA from 1 species
AUUGAACGCUGGCGGCAGGCCUAACACAUGCAAGUCGAGCGAGCGGCGGACGGGUGAGUAAUGUAUGGGAAUCUGCCCGAUAGAGGGGGAUAACUACUGGAAACGGUGGCUAAUACCGCAUACUAUCGGAUGAACCCAUAUGGGAUUAGCUAGUAGGUGGGGUAAUGGCUCACCUAGGGGACGAUCCCUAGCUGGUCUGAGAGGAUGACCAGCCACACAGGAACUGAGACAAGGUCCAGACGCCGACGGGAGGCAGCAGGGGGGAAUAUGGCACAAUGGGCGAAAGCCGGAUGCAGCAAUGCCGGGUGUGUGAAGAAGGCCUUCGGUGUGUAAAGCACUUGCAGCGAGGAGGCGUUACUCGCAGAAGAAGCACCGGCUAACUCCGUGACAGCCGCCGCGGUAAUAC